AGCCUUGAAUCAGACGUCACCGUAGGCGCCAUAUUGGAAGUGGCAAAAAGUAAGAUGCCUAAAUCAUGUACUGCUUGGGGUUGUUCUAAACGUUCGACAGCAGAAACCAGAGCCCAUGGGAUUAGCUUUCACAAGUUUCCCAAAGAUAAAGGGCUGUGAAAGCAAUGGGAAACAGCUCUCAGAAGGGAAAGGUUUUCUGCUACAGUAGCUCGUGAACUGUGCUCUGCAGUGAGCAUUUCAGACAGGAGGACUUCGACAGGACAGGUCAGACAGUUAGGAUCAGAAAUGGAGUUAUUCCUUCUGUCUUCUGUUUCCCAGCUCAUCUCCAAAAGCCUGUGGUUACCAGGCCAUCUCAAACAUCAAUGAAGGCUCCACAGAGCCUGACGAUGGAGUAUUCAGUGGACUCUUCUGUUCAACAGUUCAAUGUUGUGAGUAUUAAUUUCUAGCUAUAACUCAAACAGCUGUGAGCAUCAUGACGCUGGUUAUAUUCAAACCCAUUCAGUUCCUCCACCUCCCAAACUCUUGUCACUCUUUCAGACAGACUCAUGUUCACAGUUUUGUGCAUACAUUGAAACAUGUUUAUUAUGAUUCUAUUAAUGAGGACGUUUGCUUUUUAAGAUAAUUGACAGGCUCUUCGACAUGAUGAACAGCUGCAAUCCCCAUGCCAAAGGGUUUAAAGCUCCCUUGGGUUCUUUGAAUUGGGCACAAAGUGCAGAGUUCUUGUUGAGAGGCAGGGACUACUUGAGUUUGGUGAUGAAAGAUGGCAUACUGCUUCAUCGAUCAAAGAGGUUUUAGGAAAUAGUCAAGCUUUUGUUUUUAUGAAGAGUUCGUAAAUUUAUGACAUGAAGUUCAUAUGAUGUUCUGUUCUAGGCAGGCGAGGCAAUAUGAUAAAACC